rfam:Listeria innocua Clip11262 complete genome, segment 7/12
UUAAAACUAGCGACAGAGAAAAGUAAGAAAAUCCAUGCUAUACAGAGAAUUUAUCCCAUUUGGCUGAAAGGAUAAAGAUAGUCAUAUUUUCCGAAAAGACACUCUCGAGGUUUCUUGUUGAAAACAGUAAACAAGAACGUAUUCAGGCGUUAACUGACUUAAGUGAGGACUUAUUAAUAGUUCUAAUUAGGGUGGUACCACGGGUGUAAAUAAACUCUCGUCCCUUGU